GGCGGCUGCUAUACUGCAAGUCGAACGAAGCUUUCUUUCACCGAAUGCUUGCAUUCACCGAAAGAAGCUUAGUGGCGAACGGGUGAGUAACACGUAGGCAACCUGCCCAAAAGAGGGGGAUAACACUUGGAAACAGGUGCUAAUACCGCAUAACCAUGAACACCGCAUGAUGUUCAUGUAAAAGACGGCUUUUGCUGUCACUUUUGGAUGGGCCUGCGGCGUAUUAACUUGUUGGUGGGGUAACGGCCUACCAAGGUGAUGAUACGUAGCCGAACUGAGAGGUUGAUCGGCCACAUUGGGACUGAGACACGGCCCAAACUCCUACGGGAGGCAGCAGUAGGGAAUCUUCCACAAUGGACGAAAGUCUGAUGGAGCAACGCCGCGUGAAUGAAGAAGGCCUUCGGGUCGUAAAAUUCUGUUGUCAGAGAAGAACGUGCGUGAGAGUAACUGUUCACGUAUUGACGGUAUCUGACCAGAAAGCCACGGCUAACUACGUGCCAGCAGCCGCGGUAAUACGUAGGUGGCGAGCGUUGUCCGGAUUUAUUGGGCGUAAAGGGAACGCAGGCGGUCUUUUAAGUCUGAUGUGAAAGCCUUCGGCUUAACCGAAGUAGUGCAUUGGAAACUGGAAGACUUGAGUGCAGAAGAGGAGAGUGGAACUCCAUGUGUAGCGGUGAAAUGCGUAGAUAUAUGGAAGAACACCAGUGGCGAAAGCGGCUCUCUGGUCUGUAACUGACGCUGAGGUUCGAAAGCGUGGGUAGCAAACAGGAUUAGAUACCCUGGUAGUCCACGCCGUAAACGAUGAGUGCUAAGUGUUGGAGGGUUUCCGCCCUUCAGUGCUGCAGCUAACGCAUUAAGCACUCCGCCUGGGGAGUACGGUCGCAAGACUGAAACUCAAAGGAAUUGACGGGGGCCCGCACAAGCGGUGGAGCAUGUGGUUUAAUUCGAAGCAACGCGAAGAAACCUUACCAGGUCUUGACAUCUUCUGACAAUUUCCAGAGAUGGAAACGUUUCCCUUUCGGGGACAGGAAUGACAGUGAUGCAUGAUGUCGUCAGCUCGUGUCGUGAGAUGUUGGCUAGUCCCGGCAACGAGCGCAUCCAUAAUUGUCAGCUGACCAU
rnacentral:rRNA from 2 species